rnacentral:lncRNA from 10 species
CCAGUGCCAGGCACCAGACCCAAAACCAGGCCUGAGCCUGCCUGACAUUAGCUUGAUAGUUAAAAUUCAACCCAUGACCUAGCAACCGAUGUUAUCCGUACAUUCCAGACAUUGUAUGGAAGGACAUUGUGAAACUUCCCUUUCUGUUCUGUUUCACUCUGACAACCGGUGCAUGAAACCCCUGUCACAUACUCCCUAGAUGGCUCAAUCAAUCAUGACACUUUCAUGUAAAAUCUUUAGUAUUGUGAGCCCUUAAAAGGGACAGAAUUUGUGCACUCAAGAAGCUCGGAUUUUGAGAUGUUAGUCUGCUGAUGCUUCCAGCUGACUAAAGCCACUUCCUCCACUCCCUCAGUGUCUGUGAGGUUUUGUCUGCAGCUCAUCCUGCUACAUUUCUUGUUUCCCUGAUCAGGAAGCGAGGUAACUGACGGACGGCUGAGGCAUCCCCUUAGGCAGCUUAGGCCUGCUCUAUGGAGCAUCCCUGUGGGAGACUCUGGCCUGCCUUAGUGACGUGAUCCAAAGAGUGAUCCCAGGUAGGCAAUUGCCCUGGUGGAAUGCCUUGCCAGAGCAGCAUGUGCCAGGCCCACAUGGAGGAUCAACGCAGUGGCUGAACACAAGGGAGGAACUGGCACUUGGAGUGCAGACAUCUGAAACUUGGUUUUUGCAUGAAGAGGAGCAGGAGUCUCGAAGGCACAGCCAGACAAUUUCAAGUUUAUUCUGCUUCAGCUGUCAUAGUGGCAACCCGCACUAAGAGUUUGUCACCAAACUCUCAUCGUUAAGCUUGGAAUGUCUUCAAGUACAAAUGGUUAUGCAAUUUGGGAAUUACCAGUUUAUUUUCCAAGAAGGUAAGAUGCAUCCUGUUGGUGAAUGCAGGACAACCUGGCGGGCCAGGUGCAUAAAUCUUUGACUUCCCCACCAUGACGAGGUUUGGAUAAGACUUCAACCCAGUGAUGGCCAAUGAGACUGGAUGGUGCAGUCUACAAAUAUUCCACUAGCUUGUGGUGGAAUAAAUCAGUGUUGUGUAUUUUCUUUGGUCUUUUCUUCUCGGUGCUCAUGUGAAUGUGCCUAUCUGUUCUAAAACCAGGUCAUUAAAAAUAUGUCAAUAUUUUAAACAUUAAAUAUUUAAAUCUGUUAUAAUUACACAAAUUUACAUGGUUUACAUAGGUUUAUUCUUUUUUUCUUGUUGUUUGUUUUUUUGAGACGGAGUCUCGCUCUGUCACCCAGGCUGGAGUGCAAUGGCGCGAUCUCGGCUCACUGCAAGCUCCGCCUCCCGGGUCCACACCAUUCUCCUGCCUCAGCCUCUCCGAGUAGCUGGGACUAUAGGCACCCGCCACCACGCCCGGCUAAUUUUUUGUAUUUUUAGUAGAGACAGGGUUUCACCGUGGUCUCAAUCUCCUGACCUCGUGAUCUGCCCGCCUCGGCCUCCCAAAGUGCUGGGAUUACAGGCUUGAGCCACUGCGCCAGGCCCAUAUAGGUUUAUUUUUUAAUAUCUAUAAACUUUUUGCUUCUAGUUAGUUCACAGCAGAGGGCAGACUCAUUCUUUUUUGUAACUUAAAGAGUCAAAUUGUUGAUAAAUUACACUUACAGAUAAUGUGCUCUUGAGUUUAUCGCACCUGAAAUUCUCCCAUUGACCUGUAUAUUUUUGGACAUGUAUGUGUACUACUAUAUAUGAAAUAUGAAAUAUAUGUAUCUUUGAUUCAUAUAUGUAUGUAUUCAUAUAUGAUAUGAAUCAUAUCAUUGAUAUAUGUAUGUAUAUGUGUGUAUAUAUAUAAAUAUAUAUAUACUAUUUGUAAUUUCUAUUAUUUUUUCAAGUGACUGUGUGCAUUUUAAAAUUAUUGUCUACUUAGUAUUCUGGAAAAAAAUUUAGAAGACUAAUGCUGUUACAUGCUAUUUUAGAGUGGUUAUGAUCAAAGUCAUAAAAUGAGAAAGUGGUGAACCAGGAUGCAAAUGGAACAUUGACAUACUAAUACAAUUUCACCUAAUGUAUGUAGCCAGAAGUCAGACACAGUCAAGAAGUUGGGAUUUGAAGAUAGAAAUUUUUAAGAGCAAAAGAAGAGACACUAUUCCAUGGAGUUUGCAUUGUGAGUUUAUGAAUGAAUGUAGAAAAUGGUAAUUUGGUCUCCUUCAUUCCUAUGGUAAAUGUCUUCAUUGAUCAUAGAAAAGAGGAUGUUAUUGGAUAUGUGUGUCCAGAUAGUCAUUUAGCUGAUUCUCCAAUCACCAGGCUUGUCACUACCAAUGAAUGAUCCAAAAAAGUUCCACCAUGUGACUGACCAGGCACCUAACACACACUAUAACUUUUGCUAGGAUGUGCAAUUUUGACUUAAGAUGUAGGCUGGGCUUCUACUCUCAUAUUGGCUGAAUCUAAGUAGCACCUGAACAUUGAUCCCAAAGAGAUGAACCCUACUGAAUGUCUUUGUGAAAAAAUGGUAGGGUAAAAUACAUGCAGCAGUACAGAACCUCCAGGCUGGAUGCUGUGGCUCAGGCCUGUAAUCCUAGCAGUUUGGAAGGCUAAAGUGGGAGGUGAGCUUCACUUGAGCUCAGGUGUUUGACACCAG